CUCAGGAUGACCAAACGGUCUAAGGCGCCAGACUCAAAGGUAUGCUACGUGAUCCAGCUCAUACAGUGCUCUGGUCCACAAAUGUGGGCGUGGGUUCGAAUCCCACUCCUGACA
rnacentral:tRNA from 1 species